AGAGCCAGACGGCGCGCGGCGGGCGUAGGACUUUGGGCUUUCGCCUCGUCCUGCGCUUGACCCCAGAUGCGUUUCCAGAAGCGGGGCACCUGGGGACGCAGGAGUCUGGGAUCCCCGUCCCCCGAAAACGGACUUGGCUCCGAGAAAUCCUCCGCUUCGUGGGCUUCGCCCUCUGCAACUACCUUGCGCCUCCCUUGGCCUAGCGGACGCAGCCUUUAUUUUUUGUUUCUUAGAAACAAGGUCUGGGCCGGGCGCGGUGGCUCACGCCUUAAUCCCAGCAUUCUGGGAGGCCGAGGCGGGCGGAUCACGAGGUCAGGAGUUCGAGACUAGCCUGGCCAGCAUGGUGAAACCCUGUCUCUACUAAAGAUACAAAAAAUUAGCCGGGCGUGGUGGCGCGCGCCUGUAGUCCCAGCUACUCGGGAAGCUGAGGCAGGAGAAUUGCUUGAACCCGGGAGGCGGAGGUUGCAGUGAGCCGAGAUCGCGCCUCUGCACUGCAGCCCUCCAGCCUGGGCGACAGAGCGAGAGUCUGUCUCAAAAAAGAAAAGAAAAGAAACAGGGUCUGUAGCCCAGGCUGGAGUGCAAUUUCACGACCUAACUCACUGCAGCUGCGACCUCCCGGGCUCAAGCGAUGUUCCUGUCUUAGCCUCCCUAGCAGCUGGGGCUACGGACGCGCGCUACCACGCCCACUUAAUUUUAGGGUUUUUGUUUGUUUGUUUUUGGUGUGGAGUUUUGUUUUGUAGGGACAGAGGUCUUACUGUUGCCCGGGCAGGUCUAAGAUUCCUGGGCUCAAGCAGCUCCCCCUCCGUGGCUUCCCAAAGUGUUGGGAUUACAGGCGUGAGCCGCUGCACCCGACUAAUUUUUUAAGUUUUGUUUUUUUUUUUUUUUUUGUAGAGACGGGGGUCUCGCUAUGUUGCCCAGGCUGGUUUCCAACUUCUGAGAUCAAGCGAUUGUCCCACCUCAGCCUCCCAAAGCGCUGGGAUUACACUCCGGAGCCACCGCCCAAGACCUGAUGCAGCCUUCAAGUCCGCCUGACCCCACCGGUGCGCCACUGUCCAUCAGACUCACACACUGAGUUACAGAAAGGGAUUUUCUUUUUCUUUUUUUUUUUUGAGACGGAGUUUGCUCUUAUGGCCCAGGCUGGAGUGCAAUGGUGUCAUCUCGGCUCACUGCAACCUGUGCCUCCUGCCUCAGCCUCCUAAGUACCUGGGAUUACAGAUGCCCGCCACCACGCCCGGCUAAUUUUUUGUAUUUUGUAGAGACAGAGUUUCACCAUGUUGGUCAGGCUGGUCUCGAACUCCUGACCUCAGGUGUGGAAUUUUAAACCUGGCUCUGAAGGGGAUAGACCCCUGUUCACCCCGUCCAGAUUUUAUCUCAAAUCCUAGCAUUGUACAGGCUUAGGAGACAACUGGACCAGUUCUUGCUCCAGAGUGCCAGAUCCACACAUCCAAUCAUUUAUUGGCUGUCUCCACCUCGAGGCCUAACAGAGCUAGUUCAUCUCUGCAUCUCCCCUCCACCAUGAGCCUGCUUCUCCCUGCACUGAUUAAGGACCUGGUAUUCUGUGCUCACCAGACCUUUCCUCUCUCACUGCCUCUUUCCCUCCCCUGGUGAUCUAACCCUUUACACCAACUCAUGUUUACCUGGCCUCCCCAGCGGCUGCUGUCCUGACCCUCCCUGAGUCAGCCUUUCUUCGCUCAACAAUUCCAUCUCAACAGUCUCUUCUCUGUUGCUGCACUCCCCACCCUACAGUGGCUUGGGUGGUCUUCCAAAAACCGUCAGAUCACUUGACUCCCCCACUCUGAGCAUUCUAUGGCUCACAGCAAAGUCUAAAUUCCUUAGCUAGGUAUCAGAAACUCCAAGUUCCCUUUCCUCUUUUAUGUGUUUCAACCAUAACACACUCCUCAAUUCCAGUACCCAGCCCUACCCCACUACUACAUCUGCUUGUAGAAAGCCCACCCAUGCUGCCUCUUCUGCGCAGCCCACAGUGUGUCCCCACAGGCACAGCCCACCACACCUGGCUAAUCUUUAUUUUUUUAGAGACGGGCUCGCUAUGUUGCCCAGGUUGGUUGUGAACCCCUGGCCUCAAGGGAUCCUCUGCUUGGACCUCCCAAAGUGCUGGGAUUACAGGCAUGAGCCACCACACCAACCCAGCUUCAUUUUCCAUUUCACGCUGUUGACAAACUGGUCCCUCCAGGCUGCCCCUUAAAUCUUAGUAGAAUCUGGGCGUGGUGGCUCACGCCUGUAAUCCCAGCACUUUGGGAAGCCGAGGCGGGCAGAUCACAAGAUCAGGAGUUCGAGACCAGCCUGGCCAAUAUGCUGAAACUCUGUCUCUACUAAAAAUACAAAAAUCAGUUGGCUGUGGUGAUGGCACCUGUAAUCCCAGCUACUGGGAGGCUGAGGCAGGAGAAUCGCUUGAACCUGGGAGGCAGAGGUUGCAGUGAGCCGAGAUCGCGACACUGCACUCUAGCCUGGGCAACAGAGUGAGAUUCCGUCUGUCUCAAAAAAAAAAAAAAAAAAAAUCUUAGGAGACUACCUGAGCAACUUAAAUAGAAAAGGUAUUUUUUGUGAAUUAAGGUGGAAUGUCACCCUGUCUCCUAGAACAGUCUCGGCUCACUGCAACCUCCACCUCCCAGGUUCAAGCAAUUCUUCUGCCUCAGGGACUACAAGCACACACCACUGUACCCGGCUAAUUUUUUUUUUUUUUGUAGUUUUAGUAGAGAUGGGGUUUCACCAUGUUGGUCAGGCUGGACUCGAACUCCUGGCCUCAAGUGAUCUGCCCACCUCAGCCUCCCAAAGUGCUGGGAUUGCAGGCGUGAGCCACUGCGCCCAGUCAGAAAAGGAGUUCUUUUUAAAUCAUCUCUUGGCGUUGUCUACCCAGAACAGGCUCUAAGGUUGGAGGGGAUGGGGGGUUACACCUCCCCCUCUACCUUGCCCCAUGCCAUCAAAGCAAACAUAGAGACCCUUUUCCUCUAAGGAGCUAGCACCACUUACUCUAGCAAACUGGCAACAUUAAUGGAGAAGUCACAAAGCAUAUGAAGACAUCCCUGCCUACAAACAGCUGGGGCCUUGGCUGAGAUGAUAAACUGGCCCCAAAACCUUGUUCUCCUCCAGAUCAGAGUGUAAUCCAGAGUGAAUGCUGCCUGGAGAAGUCACUUUUCCUCUGUUCUUAUAAGCUCUGUGACCUACAGAAAUUACUUAACCUGUUUCCUUUAUUGAAAUGGUUUUUAUGCAAGACGCAAACUGAUUCCAAGUGCCCCACCCUCAAGUCCGAAGGCUCACAGGAUCAUGGAACAAUAGGUGUCAGGAAGGGGUGAAUUUUAUUUUCUGAGGACCUCCAGACUUAGGGAGCCUGCAGUGGGCACUGUUAAUGCCCCACCCAGGUCCUCCUUACUGGCGGAUGCUUCCAUCCCUUGUCUGCUGCUGUGGUGUUCGCUGCUUAUAACUCACAGCUGCCUCUUCUCCUGAGGCUGUUCUUAGCUGAAGGGGAGACUCAUCUCCCACUGAGACAAUAUUGUUGCUCCACUCCUUUCACUGCCCUUUCCUUUCAUUACCUUCCUCCCUAGAGCGCUCCCCUCAAGGCCAAAUUGUACCUAAAUCUUGUGCGCCUAAAUUCUGUCUCAAGCCUCACUUCUAGAUAUCCUGGUUUAAGACAGUGGGUACCAGCCAGGCUCAGUGGCACACACCUAUAGUCCCAGCCCUUUGGGAGGCCAAGGCAAGCAGAUCACUUGAGGUCAGGAGUUCAAGACCAGCGUGACCAACAUGGUGAAACCCCAUCUCUUCUAAAAAUACAAAAAAUUAGCUGAGUGUGGUAGCGCGCGCCUAUAAUCCCAGC
rnacentral:lncRNA from 1 species